rnacentral:misc_RNA from 1 species
CUCUUCCUCGCCUACGAACUUCCUCAUCCCCAUUCUCCUCCUCCUUCCGAUCUCUUUCUCCGGCCAAAUUCAUCUCCAUAAAGGAGAACAUUAUAUGACAGUAUAGCAUAGAGAAAGAUCAUGGCUGUAGAGGCUUUUGCCAAAACAAAUUUGAUGGAAGAUAUGGAUGAUGACGAUGACAUGCCUUUAGUUUUCAAACGAAGUAGUACCACAUCAAAGCAAAAUCAGUCCAAUUCAUCAUCUCAGAAGCAGGAUGGAAGAUCGGGGCGGCAAGUUCCUGAUAUACGUUCACCUAAUGGCCAGAGCUCUAGUACUCAUAAAGUUAAGACAGUCACCUCUUCUAAGGCAUCUCCAGCAGUUUCACCUUUAACUAGUCCAAAAGCGUCGCCUCUGUCAAGCAGGACAUCUCCUGCACCAAACUCAAGGCCGUCAUCUUCUGCAGGUAAUCAGGCAAAAAAAUGUUAAUCAACAAUCCAAUGUUACUCCUAAGGAGUCGAAACAAGCUGUUGAACCAAAAUCUGAACCUAAUGAUGAAGCUGAGGAUUCUGAUGAUGAUAAACUAUUGAGUUCUAGGGUCCCUUCUGGGUUAUCUAAGAGCACUUCUGUUCAUGCCAAGAAAGUGCUUUGUACUUCAACAUCAGUUCAGAAGUCUAGACCUCCCAAAAAAGAGGAUUCAGAUGAUGAAACUCCCUUAGCAUCAAGGUUUCCAAUGAAAUCCAAUGCAGGGGCUUCCACUAGCAAGUUUUCUAGUUCUGAAGAAGUUAAGCCUAAGAUUCGUCAGAAUGGUUUGCCAUCUGCGACAGUUUUAAGUAAGAGACCCCCUGGUGAGGUCAAGUCUGCUGCUCAGGCUUCAGUUAAAAAGCCUAGACUUUCUGAUGCGUCCACACCUGUUUCUAGUAAGCAACCGCCUUUCAAAACUGAAAAGAAGACAGAGGACGAUGACGACGAUGUUCCUAUAUCUCAGAGGAUAAAAAAGGCAGUAGAUUCAGCUUCAGCUUCAGCUAGUAAAGUGUCAUAUGUGAAGAAAGCAACUAAAGUUGUUUCGUCAUCGAUGAAGAAAACAAAGAAGAAGUUGAAAAAACCCAAGUACUCUAAGUCGUCAAAACUGCAGCCAAGCUCUGGUGAUGGGCAAAAAUGGACUACACUGGAACACAAUGGUGUGAUUUUUCCACCUCCAUACAAACCUCAUGGGGUUAAGAUGCUCUACAAGGGAAAGCCCGUGGAUCUUACUCCAGAGCAGGAAGAGGUCGCAACAAUGUAUGCCGUGAUGUUAGACACUGAAUACAUGACUAAAGAGCAGUUCAAAGAGAAUUUCAUGAAUGACUGGAGAAAAAUACUUGGAAAAAACCAUGUCAUUCAAAAGUUAGAAGAGUGUGAUUUUACCCCAAUAUAUGAGUGGCAUCAGAGUGAGAAGGAGAAGAAGAAGCAAAUGAGUUCAGAAGAGAAGAAGGCAUUGAGAGAAGAGAAACUUAAGCAAGAAGAGAAAUACAUGUGGGCUAUUGUGGAUGGUGUUAAAGAGAAGGUUGGGAACUUUCGGGUUGAACCACCUGGAUUGUUCCGAGGCCGCGGGGAACAUCCAAAGAUGGGAAAGCUAAAGAGACGGAUCCGGCCAAAUGAUAUCACAAUAAAUAUUGGAAAGGGUGUUCCAGUACCGGAGUGCCCCAUCCCUGGCCAAAGGUGGAAGGAAGUAAGGCAUGACAACACAGUAACAUGGUUAGCUUUCUGGAACGACCCUAUUAAUCCAAGAGAAUUCAAAUACGUUUUCCUAGCAGCCAGUAGUUCCUUGAAAGGGCAAAGUGAUAAGGAGAAGUAUGAGAAAGCUAGGCGUUUGAAGGAUUACAUAGAAGGCAUUAGAUCUGCAUAUACAAAAGAUUUUGCAAGUAAAGAUCCUGUGAAGCGUCAGAUUGCAGUUGCAACUUAUCUUAUCGAUAAAUUAGCUCUGAGGGCAGGGAAUGAGAAGGAUGAUGACGAAGCUGAUACAGUUGGUUGCUGUACUUUGAAAGUAGAGAAUGUAGAGCCAGUACCUCCAAAUAUUUUGAAGUUCGAUUUUCUUGGUAAAGAUUCUAUCAGGUACCAAAAUGAGGUGGCUGUGUAUGAGCCUGUUUUUAAAGCUAUUCAACAGUUCCGAAGUGGAAAAAAGGGCAGUGACGAUCUUUUUGACAAGCUUGAUACGAGUAAGCUUAAUGCCCAUCUAAAGGAACUCAUGCCAGGGCUCACAGCAAAAGUAUUUCGUACAUAUAAUGCAUCUUUUACAUUGGAGCAGCAAUUGACUAAGCUCACACAAGGGGGGGAGCUUGCUGAUAAAAUUGCGGUAUAUAAUGUGGCAAAUAAAGAGGUUGCAAUAAUUUGUAAUCACCAGCGUACUGUCUCGAAGUCCCAUAGCGUGCAAAUUUCAAGGUUGAAUAACAAGAUAGAUGAGUUAAAGGCUAUUUUGGAAGAAUUCAAAGUAGAUUUGGCUCGGGCCAAAAAAGGGAAGCCUCCGGUGAAAGGCGCCGAUGGCAAGGCGAAGAGGAACUUGACCCCUCAAGCAUUACAGAUAAAAAUAGACCAAACUAAUGUGAAGAUUGAUAACAUAGAGAGGCAAAUAGAUACUAAAGAAGAGUUGAAAACUGUGGCUUUGGGCACAUCAAAAAUCAACUAUUUGGAUCCUAGGAUUACUGUGGCAUGGUGUAAGCGCCAUGAGGUUCCCAUUGAAAAGAUGUUCAACAAGUCUCUUCUAGCAAAGUUUGCCUGGGCGAUGGAUGUUGAACCUUCCUUCACAUUCUAAAUUUUUGGUGGUUGUUAUAGUGUAGGACAUCUCUUCAAAGUCAAGUCUCCCUCCUAAUACCCAAUUGUUCACAUUUCCCCCUUCCUCCCUCCUGGAAAGAGAAUAGGAAAAAAGUUCUAUUAUUUUUGCACUUAAAAAAGAAGAAAAAAAAAGAGAUCUUUGAUCGUUGUCUGACAAUAUUUAAACUUGUUUACCCUGACAAAUUCCUGUUGUAAUUUGAGCUUCUUCUGAAUUU